CACUCCUGCGGGAGGCAGCAGUGGGGAAUUUUGGACAAUGGGCGAAAGCCUGAUCCAGCAAUGCCGCGUGCAGGAUGAAGGCCUUCGGGUUGUAAACUGCUUUUGUACGGAACGAAAAAGCUCCUUCUAAUACAGGGGGCCCAUGACGGUACCGUAAGAAUAAGCACCGGCUAACUACGUGCCAGCAGCCGCGGUAAUACGUAGGGUGCGAGCGUUAAUCGGAAUUACUGGGCGUAAAGCGUGCGCAGGCGGUUAUGUAAGACAGAUGUGAAAUCCCCGGGCUCAACCUGGGAACUGCAUUUGUGACUGCAUGGCUAGAGUACGGUAGAGGGGGAUGGAAUUCCGCGUGUAGCAGUGAAAUGCGUAGAUAUGCGGAGGAACACCGAUGGCGAAGGCAAUCCCCUGGACCUGUACUGACGCUCAUGCACGAAAGCGUGGGGAGCAAACAGGAUUAGAAACCCCUGUAGUCCC
rnacentral:rRNA from 1 species